rnacentral:rRNA from 1 species
UGAGGAACAUGACCUUCGGCGGGGGAUAGCCGGCCCAACGGCCGGGUAAUACCGCGUACGACCACAUGGGGACAUCCCUGAGUGGUGAAAGCAGCAAUGCGCCGAUGGAGUGCCUCGCGGCCUAUUAGCUAGUUGGUGAGGUAACGGCUCACCAAGGCGACGACGGGUANCUGGUCUGAGAGGAUGGCCAGCCACAUUGGGACUGAGACACGGCCCAGCUCCGUAGGGAG